ensembl:lncRNA
GGUGUAGGAACAGGGUGUAGGGAAUAGGGUGUAGGGAACAGGGUGUAGGGAAUAGGGUGUAUGGAACAGGGUGUAGGGAAUAGGGUGUAGGGAACAGGGUGUAGGGAAUAGGGUGUAGGGAACAGGGUGUAGGGAAUAGGGUGUAGGGAACAGGGCAUAGGGAAUAGGGUGUAGGGACAGGGGUGUAGGGAACAGGGUGUAGGGAAUAGGGUGUAGGGAACAGGGUGAAGGGAAUAGGGAGAAGCUUACAGUGUAGUGAGAAUGGCUGAGCUGCAGUGACGUUUUAAAACUACUCCGAGACUAUUUAUAGCCAGACAAUGCACACACA